rnacentral:rRNA from 1 species
AACGAACGCUGGCGGCAUGCCUAACACAUGCAAGUCGAACGAGACCUUCGGGUCUAGUGGCGCACGGGUGCGUAACGCGUGGGAAUCUGCCCUUGGGUUCGGAAUAACAGUUAGAAAUGACUGCUAAUACCGGAUAAUGUCUUCGGACCAAAGAUUUAUCGCCCAGGGAUGAGCCCCGCGUAGGAUUAGCUAGUUGGUGAGGUAAAGGCUCACCAAGGCGACGAUCCUUAGCUGGUCUGAGAGGAUGAUCAGCCACACUGGGACUGAGACACGGCCCAGACUCCUACGGGAGGCAGCAGUGGGGAAUAUUGGACAAUGGGCGAAAGCCUGAUCCAGCAAUGCCGCGUGAGUGAUGAAGGCCUUAGGGUUGUAAAGCUCUUUUACCCGGGAUGAUAAUGACAGUACCGGGAGAAUAAGCCCCGGCUAACUACGUGCCAGCAGCCGCGGUAAU